GACGGAGGAUGCAAGUGUUAUCCGGAAUCACUGGGCGUAAAGCGUCUGUAGGUGGUUUAAAAAGUCUACUGUUAAAAAUUGAAAGCUUAACUUCAAAGAUGCCGUAGAAACUUUUAAACUCGAGGAUGGUAGGGGUAGAGGGAAUUUCCAGUGGAGCGGUGAAAUGCGUAGAUCUUGGAAAGACCACCAAUGGCGAAGGCACUCUACUGGGCCAUUACUGACACUAAGAGACGAAAGCUAGGGGAGCAAAUGGG
rnacentral:rRNA from 1 species